UACGUAGGGUGCAAGCGUUAAUCGGAAUUACUGGGCGUAAAGCGUGCGCAGGCGGUUUUGUAAGUUUGUCGUGAAAGCCCCGGGCUUAACCUGGGAAUGGCCGUUGAAACUGGCGAACUGGAGUGUGGGCAGAGGGGGGUGGAAGUUCCGACGUGUAGCAGUGAAAUGCGUAGAGAUCCGGAGGAACACCAAAGGCGAAGGCAGUGUCCUGGGGAGUAACGUGACGCUGAGGAGCGAAAGCGUGGGGAGCGAACGAGG
rnacentral:rRNA from 1 species